UCCAUUUCAAACAAUUAUUUUAACACGGCCUCAAAUUAAACAGGUUUCACACCUUCAUCAAAGCAAUGCGGAUCCCGAAGAGCACUGGAGGCGGGACACAAUUUACCGCGCAGCAGGCAGCUAUACCGAAUUAUACCGAUGUCUCGUGUGGUGCAGUCACUUACGCGAUUUUAAUGCUCUGUUAGGGCUGGAAUGUUAACAGUGUUCGCUGGGGCCAGGUGAUUGGUUGUACGAUCGGUUGUUCAACACACAUCGUGAUCAAACGAUACCCUAAGUGUUGCAUGCUACCGGCAAUGGACCUAUUCUUUGGAAUUCCAUCUAAUGUGGGCAAUCAGCGAUGAUCGGAGCAACGGUGUGUCGCAAUCAUGACACACUGCUUACGACCUUUAGGGUCGCUGAGUGGACCCUUUUGGCCCCUGGCCAAUGUUUAGCAUGGUUGUAGAAGUACCUCAAUUAAGAAGUCGAACGUGAUUUGAAUAAGCAGACUCGAAGCGAUAAGAGUGAAACGCUAGGCACACACAGGGCGUACAUUAAGCCGAGGUGUCAGUAAAUUAUUUAAUUAGCGCUAUUGGGUGAACUAAAUGAGACACCUAAAUUAGCCUGUUUUUCAAAUUCAGUUUUCUGUUUCUAUUUGUGUAGAAAUCAAGCAGUAAUAUCGGAACAAACAAAGCACAUUAGUGGAAGCAAAUGCUCGUAGAGUUUAGGUGAUGGCAAACUGAACUUGAAAAUAACGUGUUUUCUUCGAGAUGCUAUUUAUUUAACGCAAAAUCUUAUUGAUACAGUAUACAUCAACAAAAAGCACAAAAAAGUAAAUCUAUAAAUAUUCCUCGUCGUUUACAACACGCAUCGUGACCUAGUGUGACAUAGGCGGUACACUGUGCGACACAUCAGUACCGAUUUGCAAAUAAAUGAUUUAUAGCGCAAUACACUCUUCGGCUACGUGGCGCAGAAUAGAAUGAGUGCGUACAUGUACGGGCCAUGCGUGUCGUUACGUUUGCAUUCUGGCCCAAGUCGAAGUGUAGGCGUAUCGAAUUUCUCUUUCCCGCGGCCAAACUUUAAAGAUUGACCGCCAUCGUCGUUGGCGACAGACAGGCCUCGGGGCUGGACCGAUGGUCGUAAAUUUUGUGCAAAAAUUGCUUUCAAAGUGUGAUUUAAAAUUCCACCAGUUUGGCCCGUUCACGCAUGAGGGAUGUUGGGUUUUUAUUGCAUUUGAACGGCCAUGGAUGGUAGUGGCACACGUAUCUGGGCGGCAUGGUUGACUUCAGCACAGAGGUUAAACAGAUUUAAGAGAGGUUUAUUAUGGUUAACAUUCUCGGAUGUCCUCGUACUAUAUGUUUGCGGAAUGUGUAUUCAGGCCAUGCCAGUAAGGAAUAUGUACGUAAGUGUGACAGUUUUCAAAUAGCUAGAAGUAGAUUGUCAACUUUUCAGAUUGUACCCAUGGGAACUUAUGGAGCAUUAUAAAAAAGUUUUAUUUUUAGUUUUGUAGGUGUAAGUGUAAUUAAGAAAAAGUCAAAGUAAUAUUAUCUAGUAAAACCUAUUUUUAUUAGCUUAACCCA